rnacentral:rRNA from 1 species
AGUGAACGCUGGCGGUAGGCCUAACACAUGCAAGUCGAACGGCAGCACAGUAAGAGCUUGCUCUUACGGGUGGCGAGUGGCGGACGGGUGAGGAAUACAUCGGAAUCUACUUUUUCGUGGGGGAUAACGUAGGGAAACUUACGCUAAUACCGCAUACUACCUACGGGUGAAAGCAGGGGAUCUUCGGACCUUUCGCGAUUGAAUGAGCCGCUGUCGGAUUAGCUAGUUGGCGGGGUAAGGGCUCACCAAGGCAACGAUCCGUAGCUGGUCUGAGAGGAUGAUCGGCCACACUGGAACGGAGACACGGUCCAGACUCCUACGGGAGGCAGCAGUAGGGAAUAUUGGACAAUGGGCGAAAGCCUGACGGAGCAAUGCCGCGUGAGUGAAGAAGGCCUUCGGGUCGUAAAGCUCUGUUAUUGGGGAAGAAAAGAAGUAGGAGUAACUGUGGACAUCUUGACGGUACCUAAAGAAAAAGCAACGGCUAACUACGUG